rnacentral:lncRNA from 1 species
UACAUCAUAAAUCAUGAUGAGAGAAGAAAAAUAUUAGUAGCUUGCCAUGUUCAUCCUACUUCUGGCCAUAUGGGUAAAACAAGGACAUUAGGCAGGGUAAAAGAGCGUUUCAUGUGGCACGGAAUGGUAAAAAAUGUCCAUGAGUUGCUUAUAUCAUGUGAUGUAUGCCAGAGAAUGAAUAGAAAGUUAAACUGUGGAAAACCAGAGAUGCACCCAAUAAAGUAGGUUGAAGUAAUAGCCACUAAAGACAAAAUGGCAGUUA